CUGGCUGUGUUGCCUAGGCUGUUUCAGACUCCUGGCUUCAAGCGAUCUUCCCCGCUAGCUUCCCAAAAUGCUGGGAUUAUGAGACACUGAGCCCUACUAAACUAAGUUUUUGAAAUGUCUUAAGGGGCAGCAGGAGAGUCAGGUUAAGUGCUGCUGGAACGUCCAUGAAGUGGUUGGUUUCUUCCUGAGGUAGCUGCUGUUGCCAGGAGAAAGCGUUAUGAUUCAUUUCCCACAAAAGUGGUUCCGUCUCCCCCUCUCUCUUCCUUUACUCUCUCCUGCUCCCUGCUUUCCUUCCUUUACUCUUCCUUUCUUUUGCCUUUUUUUUUUUUUUUUUUUUUUUUUUUUUUUUUUUUUUUUUUUUUUUUUUUUGGUUUUAAGGAGCCGAGAGUUUAGGCAAGAAGGGACAAGAAGGAAGGGAGAAGGAAGAAGCUCCCCUGAACCGAGACAGAGGGAGGGACACUCCAAAGCAGAGAGGGACCCCAAGUGGGGCAGAAACCUGCCCCGUGCAUAGAGGCUGGAGGAGGGUGGUGACUGAUUUGCAUAGGGCUCAUGGGAUUGGUUUGACCAGACGUGUCAUUCAUGUAGCCCAUGAAAAAGCUGGCCCUGCCACCCUAGCCUUUUAAUAUGCAAAUGCAGGGCACCAGGAUAUUCUACAGGCAUCGGGAUUUGUGGGGGUAGCCAUGUUGCCAGGAACUUGUGGGGCAAGGGCAAAGAGGCUUUCCCGGUACCACCUGUUGGGUGGACUCAGUUUCUAAUGACCUGCAUUUACAUAUCAAAGGUUACCCGCCUGGCUCUAAGGGCAGGGGCUUUACCAGAAACUUUUCUGGAGAUGCUUUAAAAAAUGAACACUUCCCAAGGACCCCUUUUUCUCUCUAUCUGCCUAAAAUAAUUUCUUAACCCCUACAACAGAAUGUUUCA